UUACUCAUUUUGAUGUGCCAUAAAUAGUGUAGAAGUGGACCACUAUGAGAGUGACAAUUAAGGUACUGUGCCCAGACUAAUUAUGUCCCUUGGUCUGUCAUCACUGUCAUUGGUGGGCAGAGAACAGAUGAAUGGAUUCCUGAUUCUUACUUGGAAUUGUUCAGUUAAGGGAUUAUAUAUUCUGAUCCUUUUUGCUUCUCGGUGUGAUCAUUUGACUAGAUCUGACCAAUGAAAGAAAUUGUCAAUGGAGCCUCUGCUUUUGUAAUCUGGCUUCUUCAGGCCCUGAGAGCUUCCUGCACUUCCAGACUCCCGCUCUCAAGAUAUGUUGAAGAGUCUCCAACUUGCUCAACAAAAAAGAUCUUUAUCCAGGAUAAUUAUCCCCUACCAUUCCACAGAGAUAUUCCAAGGGAAAACAAUAAGCCUACUUAACCCAA